UGGGCAGUUUGACUGGGGCGGUCGCCUCCCAAAAGGUAACGGAGGCGCUCAAAGGUUCUCUCAGUACGGUCGGAAAUCGUACGUAGAGGGUAAAGGCAAAAGAGAGCUUGAUUGCAAGACAUACAGGGCGAGCAAGGAUGAAAAUCGGACUUAGUGAUCCGGUGGUUCUGCGUGGAAGGGCCAUCGCUCAACGGAUAAAAGCUACCCUGGGGAUAA
rnacentral:rRNA from 1 species